rnacentral:rRNA from 1 species
AAGUACUGUGAAGGAAAAAUGAAAAGAAUUUUUGUAUAAAUUUUAAAAGAUCUUGAAAUUUAAUGGUAUAUCAGUUUUAGCUUAUUGUUAAAACGUACCUUUUGCAUAAUGGACUAACGAGUUUAUAUUAAUAGCGAGUAAAAUUAAAAAAUUACGUAUUGAAAAAAAUUUAGUUAUUAAUAUAAGACCCGAAGCUAAGUGAUCUAACUAUUAUUAAGUUGAAAAUUUAAUAAAUUGAAGGACUGAACCCGUAAAUGUUGCAAAAUUUUGGGAUAAAUAAUAGUUAGGGGUGAAAGGCUAAUCAAAC